rfam:Gossypium raimondii chromosome 1, whole genome shotgun sequence.
AUUCCGUGAUGAGGACACUUUCGUAAUAAUUCUUUUUACCUUUCCCAUGCCUCAUACAAUGACUCAUUAUCUGUUUGUUGGAAAGCAGUGAUCUCGUUCCUCAACUU